rnacentral:rRNA from 1 species
CUACCGGGGUAUCUAAUCCUGUUUGCUCCCCACGCUUUCGCACCUCAGCGUCAGUGUCAGUCCAGGAGGCCGCCUUCGCCACUGGUGUUCCUUCCGAUCUCUACGCAUUUCACCGCUACACCGGAAAUUCCACCUCCCUCUACUGCACUCUAGCGUGCCAGUAUCGGAUGCAAUUCCAAGGUUGAGCCCUGGGCUUUCACAUCCGACUUAACACACCGCCUACGCGCGCUUUACGCCCAGUAAUUCCGAUUAACGCUUGCACCUUUCGUAUUACCGCGGCUGCUGGCAC